UAAGAGAGAAAUUAAAUCUGGCAAUGUUCUGGUGUUCCGUUACACAGGAAGUUAAACAUUUGAAGGAUUGCCAGUUGCAAGCAUGGAUCGGGAAUUUAGCACCAAAAUCCGUCUGUCUUAGAUAAAAUUCGUAAUCUGGAAGUUUCCUUCAUUCUCUGCAUGAUGGGCAUAUUCAAUAUCUAGUCUCAUCUGGCCAUCAGAGAUCUGUGAUUUGUUGUGAAAUGUGAAUGAGUUGGAUGAAAUAGGCAUGCUUAUAUUUUCUGCUCAUCAACUCUGUAACUUCAUGGGGGUCGGAAAAUUAUUAUAUAGCAGUUAUGCAAGCAUUACUACUCAUUUCAUUGAAUAAUGAAUGUUGGCUGUGAGAUGCCCAUUGAGAUUUCUCUAUUAUUAUUUGAGAGCUGAAUGGUGGAUUUUAGCAUGUUGCUGACGGAACAGCCAUGAAGAUGAACGAAAUCUAUAUGCCCGUUUGAGAGGACCAUUGAGUUGGAUAUAAAAGUAGUUAGAUAAGGUGGUAUUUUACCAUUUAUAAAUAGCUGUGUCAAGCAACCAUUGCUGAUGGGGUGUGUAAUCGGGCUCAAUCAAGGUCGAUCGUUGAAUGGAGCGUAAUUGAUUGGGACGGUUAACCCGAAAACCACGCGGAAUACAUUGGGAAUGAUGAUUCCCAAUUACCAACAGUAGUUAGGUUUUUCUUUUAUGAGUGUGGUAUCUAUAUGCAUUACCUCUUUCUGCUCCACUUUACUAUCUGAUAGUUUGUUAGAUAUUUACAUUUUCAGGUUUUGAACAAUUUAGGUACUGCAAUUUUUUUAUGGGCUUCUAGUAUUCCUAAUCACGCCUUCAAUAACCAAAUCUCUUAACAUUUACGAAUAGGGGUUUACAUAAGAUGCGUUUCAGCUUAACUUUAGUCUGAGCAUAUGAUGGGUGGGAGAGGUAAGUUUUUUCCUCUAAUUUCAAUAAUUAAAAAGUCUAAGCACAUACCAUCGUAGUUUGAAAGCUAAAGGCCUAUUUAAGUAAUUUGACUUUGUUCCAGAUGGUAAAAAUUUCAAUUUACUACACUACAAUUUAUAUAAUGCUAAACGUUGCUUGAUAAGCAACGCAAUAUAUUUCCGUAAGUUUUCCUUUUCAUUCCAAAUUUCUUGACUACAUUUUAGCACGCUAAUGAUACAAUGCAUCUCUAAACCUGGCAUGUUCCUGGAUUACACUUCAGUUUGUUAACAACUGGUUGUGGUACAACACAAGGUUGUAAGGAAUGGGUAAUGAAAGCUUUCAUUGAUCCUUGCAACUGUUUUUUAUCAGAUGGAUAGCCAACUCAAUGGGAAUUCUGCUUCAAGAAUUGAUUAAUUUGACUAAAUGAAAGGUUUUAUAGGUGAGGAUCGAAUACCGCUGCCCUUUACUUAAUCGACAGGGAUUAACCUUAUCAACUGGUUGAAAAAGUGGGACAAAGAUGUUAACUUUUUCGUCUCUGCCGAUGAAGCUUGUGUGUGUCAUCAAGAAUUCGUUGGAUUUUCAUUGUGCCAUGAAGUUUCAGGGCCGUGUGACCAGAUCCUUGCUUUGAACGAAAGUUUCUGACAAAAUCAGGAAAAGUCGGUCCUUCUUCAAAUUAAUAAAGUCAAAUAAGACUAAAACUCCUGGUUCAAUUAUUUGGACACUUAACAGGUAUUUCAUACACUUCAAAGUAGUAACUCUUUCGUAGUUUUAAGUCCACAUCACUUGUGCCGGCUUGGUUUUAGUUAACCUUAUUCUCAAUUUUAUGACAUGUUUUCCAAGAUUGAUAUGCCUCUAAAAAAAGAAGCUACCCAAGAAUCUAAACCUUAUUGGAUGUAUUAAGUCUGACAAUAGUUGGACUCCUGACUGUUGGCAAAUCUACCUUUUUCAGUGUGCUAACAAAAAGUGCAGGACCUGCAGAGAAUUUCCCACUUUUCACCAUUGAUCUGAAUGAAAAUAAGUGUUCUUUUAGUGUUUAUAAACAAAACUUUUGGUUACUGUCAUAUUAAAUUUCCGGUCUAGUGUUCAAAUAAGGUAGCAGUUCCUGGUGAAAGGUUUGAUUGGUUGCUUCAGCAUUAUAAACCCUCAAAGUAAAGUUUGAAGAAUCAUAUUCAUCCAUUGUAUUCUUAAUUGUAUUUCACUUCAACACAGUCCCAAAUUCACUAUUUACUGGAUCAGAAGCUCAUACAGCUGGCAGCAACAGAAAUUAUGUUCAUACUAAAAGAAGUCUUUCUUAAGUGUUAUAUUUACAAAACAUGCAUGACAGUGGAUGUAAUGAAUAUUUGAUAAACAUACCAUAAAUUUCAGAUAAAUAAUCCUUCAAAAUA